CACCAACAACAACAACAUUUAUUAAUAUAGCACAUUUUCAUACAAAAAGUAGCUCAAAGUGCUUUACAUAAUUAAGAAAAGAAAAAUAAAAGACAAAAUAAGAAAUUAAAAUAAGACAACAUUAGUUAACAUAGAAUAAGAGUAAGGUCCAAUGGCCAGGGAGGACAGAAAAAACAAAAAAAAAAACUCCAGACGGCUGGAGAAAAAAAUAAAA